rnacentral:misc_RNA from 1 species
AAAAAAAAAAAAAAAAACAAAAGAUGUGUUCUUUUGAUAUAACAAACUUGAAUUUGAGUAAAAAAAAAUUGAGGGAAAAAAAAACCCGUUGUUAACAUGAUGCCACUUGGUCAUCUGCAUAGAUAAUACUCAAACUUAGCUGGACUUAAGAAAUCAAGUGCUAUAUAAGUAUUGUUUUAGUGACAUGGUGCUACAAUGUUAAACUACAGAACUAAUAUGAUAACUGGAAAA